CAAUAGCGUAUAUUAAAGUUGUUGCAGUUAAAAAGCUCGUAGUUGGAUUUGUGGCGGUUCCUGGGGUCCGAUUUCGGUACUCUCGGGGACUGCCAUCUUUGGGUGGAUCCUGUGUGGCAUUAGGUUGUCGUGCAGGGGAUACCCAUCGUUUACUGUGAAAAAAUUAGAGUGUUCAAAGCAGGCUUACGCCGUUGAAUAUAUUAGCAUGGAAUAAUGAGAUAGGACCUUGGUACUAUUUUGUUGGUUUGCGCACCGAGGUAAUGAUUAAUAGGGACAGUUGUGGGUAUUCGUAUUCCAUUGUCAGAGGUGAAAUUCUUGGAUUUUUGGAAGACGAACGAAUGCGAAAGCAUUUACCAAGGAUGUUUUCAUUAA
rnacentral:rRNA from 1 species